AUGAACGCUGGCGGCGUGCCUAAUACAUGCAAGUCGAGCGAACAGAUGAGGAGCUUGCUCCUCUGACGUUAGCGGCGGACGGGUGAGUAACACGUGGAUAACCUACCUAUAAGACUGGGAUAACUUCGGGAAACCGGAGCUAAUACCGGAUAAUAUAUUGAACCGCAUGGUUCAAUAGUGAAAGACGGUUUUGCUGUCACUUAUAGAUGGAUCCGCGCCGCACUAGCUAGUUGGUAAGGUAACGGCUUACCAAGGCAACGAUGCGUAGCCGACCUGAGAGGGUGAUCGGCCACACUGGAACUGAGACACGGUCCAGACUCCUACGGGAGGCAGCAGUAGGGAAUCUUCCGCAAUGGGCGAAAGCCUGACGGAGCAACGCCGCGUGAGUGAUGAAGGUCUUCGGAUCGUAAAACUCUGUUAUUAGGGAAGAACAAAUGUGUAAGUAACUAUGCACGUCUUGACGGUACCUAAUCAGAAAGCCACGGCUAACUACGUG
rnacentral:rRNA from 1 species